CUGAACCUAGUCUGGGGCCAGAUUCUGAAGAGCCCCAGUCUGCACAGGUUCCCCUGCAACAAGCACCAGCUGGGCCGACUCAGGGGCCUGAGCCUGCCCUGGCUCUAGAUGUGGAAAUGACCUCGUUGCCUCCAGCUGGGCCAUCACUUACAGCUGCUCCACUACCGGUUGGAUCAGGGGAGGCUGAGAUGGCCCCUGGCUCUAGUCACCCACCGACGUCUCCCGAGCUGCAGAGACUGAGGUCUGAGAGGAGGAGAGACCUGAGUACUUGCAGGAGGAGUGCUCGCCUUCGGGCGAGACAGGGAGGUGAGUCACUGGGGGAUCAGGACUAGCCACUACCCCGACAAAGAUAAAAGGCUGUCGGACCCCACCCCAGAUUGUGGGAGCAACAUUGCUGUAUGCCAGAUCCUGCCUGAGAUCCUGUACCUGUCCUUGCCUGGUUUCCUGCCUCGUGUCCUGCCUUGGCCCCAUCAGGCUGACUCCUAGCAGAACCUUUGGAUUUAGGACCGGACCUGGACCGCGUUGCUCAGGUUAACCCCCGGGCCCAGCACACUUGUCCUCUGGAGCGAUAGGACCCAUGAACAUUCAGUGAAGCUGAAUGUUGGAAGAUUUAGGAUAGCUAAAAGAAAGCUCCGCCAUACUUGCUCCCACUUUAAAAGAGGAUUGGACAAGUUCCUGGAGGAGGAGAGGGCUAUCAAAGGUUGCUAGCUAGGAUAGCUCUGCUUGCCCUCCACAGUUCAGCAGCAGUGCUUCUGAAUACCAGUUGCUCAGAUCCUAUGGUGGGUUUCUCCAAUUGGCCACUGUAAGAACAGAAUGCUGGACCAGAUGGGCCAUGGGUCUGAUCCACUAGGCUCUACUUACAUCGUUAGGCUUGUGCGUUGUGUUGAGACCAAGUGAGCAUGAUCUUUUGUGUUGCCGAACAAAGUCAGAUUGUGUUACCGAUCAGAGAAUGAGUCUUCCUUCAUCAGUCCCUAGACCAGUCUGGUUUUGCCUGUGAGUUUUUGGACUGUGGCUUUUUCAGCCCAGGGCUUGCAAGUUCUGCCCCUUCCAGAUGUCUCCAGGGCCAAGUAGUAAUCCAACCUCCGCAGGCACCUGUGCCAUGAGACUUCCCGGCAUCAUCCUGAAGUGCUCUGCCUUGUUUUCUUGUUAACAAAUUACACGGUCAUCAGAGAGCUUUGGAAAUAAGUCUCUGAAGCUUACAUACCACUGGACAGUAAUUGAGUUCAUCUCCUGGUGUGGCAGCUCGUUUUAAUUAGGCUUUAGAAGAUUGAAAAAAGACUGAAUAUAUUAUGGCUGAACUUAUAUUAUUAAGCGGCAGAUUAACAUUGGCGUUCAUAAUACGAAGGCUUUUAUGUGGUAGAUGCAAAUAUCUCUUCCUCUCUAAUAGAGUGGUCCACUUAUUCCAGCUCUCUUUAAUCCGAAGAGCCUUUUAAAACUCCCUAACACCAAACCGCCUUUCCUUUGCAACCUCAGUUACCUCUGCUCCGGCUAGUUGCAUUUUCUGUUGACUUCCCCUGCUUAACGUUUUUUCUCUUGGGAAGACGGGGACUUUUCGAUUGCCCCUCUUCAUACAUUCGUCCAACUUGUGGAGCAGGGCACAGACAAAAAUAUUGUGUCAUAGAACUGUAGAUGUGAUGGCCUGGGAAUUGGAUUCAGAGGCUGAACCUGAGGAAUCCCAGCCUGCACAGGAGUCCCCGCCUCCAGGACCAGCUGAGCCAGGGCUGGGGCUUGAACCUGAAGAGCCCUCACCUGUGCUGGGUCCUCAGGUGCAGGCACCAGCUGAAUCUGCUCUGGCUCCGCAGGUGAUGGAGGACCCAUUGCCUGCAGGUGCUCCACUCUCAGCCCCGUCAGAGGAAGCUGAGGUUGCCUCUGGGUCCGUUAACCCUCCAGCCUCUCCUGAGCUGCAGAGGCUCAGGGCAGAGAGGCGGAGGGAACUAAGUUCCCGCAGGAGGAGUGCUCGCCUCCAGGCCAGGAGAGGUGAGUCACCUGUGGACUGGGGCCGCCCUAUGCCUCGGGGCAGAUAAAAGUCAGCCAGCCCAGUCCCAGGUUGCGGGAGCAAUGUUGUUGGUAACCUGUUCCUGCCUGCACCCUGUCCUGCUCUUCUGCCAGAGUUCCUGACCCACCCGACUCCUUGCCUUGGACCCCCCUUCAGCCUUGACGGACAGCCUCCAUACCACACCCUUGACCUCGGACUGGACUCGGACCAUGCCUCACG